GUAUGUAAUGGUGCUGCUAUUUUGUGUCAAGCCACUGCCCCAGUCAGAACUGCCACCUCGCACCCGAGAGAUGAUGUCCUCCACUGCCAAGAUCUUGUUAUUUGUUUCUAUCAAGAGAAAGACAGCAUUAGCUUUCCUCUCCCCAAACCAAAGGACUGGGUGGGAUACUGACACCUGGAUCUCAGAUUACUGCUAAGUGGCAGUAAGGGUAAGUGGCAGAACUUACAUGGAAGAUCUGGCCACACACAGCAAACUUUUGGUGAACUUGACAGUAUGGACAACCCCUUACCAGGCUGAAGUUCACAGGACUACUGAUCCAGAAAGAGCUUUGUCUCAGACACUGCACUCAAGGACCCUCAUUGGCAGCCUGGCCUGAUUGAUGGCAAGAUCCUGCACCUUGAACCUGAGCCUACCACCACACUGGGGUGAGGCUUUGUGGGAAGUGGGGAGUAUGGCAGGUGUGAGGAAAAAAAUGAAAACGAACUGUGGUCAGAGGGCAGACCACCAUGGUACUUUUAAAGCAUGUUGCUGAACCCAUUCAAACUCCUCCCUAAAGUGCCCGCUCCCUCCAUCUAGGGGG